rnacentral:rRNA from 1 species
UACGUAGGGUGCGAGCGUUGUCCGGAAUUAUUGGGCGUAAAGAGCUCGUAGGCGGUCUGUCGCGUCGAUCGUGAAAACUUGGGGCUUAACCCUGAGCUUGCGGUCGAUACGGGCAUGACUGGAGUUCGGCAGGGGAGAGUGGAAUUCCUGGUGUAGCGGUGAAAUGCGCAGAUAUCAGGAAGAACACCCGUGGCGAAGGCGGCUCUCUGGGACGGUACUGACGCUGAGACGCGAAAGCGUGGGGAGCGAACAGG